rnacentral:rRNA from 1 species
AUUGCACGCUGGCGGCAGGCCUAACACAUGCAAGUCGAACGAGUGGCGGACGGGUGAGUAAUGUCUGGGAAACUGCCCGAUGGAGGGGGAUAACUACUGGAAACGGUAGCUAAUACCGCAUACCAUCGGAUGUGCCCAGAUGGGCUUAGCUAGUAGGUGGGGUAACGGCUCACCUAGGCGACGAUCCCUAGCUGGUCUGAGCGGAUGACCAGACACAGGGGAACGGGGACACGGUCCAGACUCCUACGGGAGGCAGCAGUGGGGAAUAUUGCACAAUGGGCGCAAGCCUGAUGCAGCCAUGCCGCGUGUAUGAAGAAGGCCUUCGGGUUGAAAAGUACUGUCAGCGAGGAGGCGUUACUCGCAGAAGAAGCACCGGCUAACUCCGUGCCAGCAGCCGCGGUAAUAC